rnacentral:rRNA from 1 species
AGCAGUCGCCACGGGAAUACGGAGGGUGCAAGCGUUAAUCGGAAUUACUGGGCGUAAAGCGCACGCAGGCGGUUUGUUAAGUCAGAUGUGAAAUCCCCGAGCUUAACUUGGGAACUGCAUUUGAAACUGGCAAGCUAGAGUCUUGUAGAGGGGGGUAGAAUUCCAGGUGUAGCGGUGAAAUGCGUAGAGAUCUGGAGGAAUACCGGUGGCGAAGGCGGCCCCCUGGACAAAGACUGACGCUCAGGUGCGAAAGCGUGGGGAGCAAACAGGAUUAGAUACCCGAGUAGUCCCUGUCUCUUAUAC